rnacentral:rRNA from 1 species
GCAGCAGUAGGGAUCUUCCGCAAUGGGCGAAAGCCUGACGGAGCAACGCCGCGUGAGUGAUGAAGGGUUUCGGCUCGUAAAACUCUGUUAUUAGGGAAGAACAAAUGUGUAAGUAACUGUGCACAUCUUGACGGUACCUAAUCAGAAAGCCACGGCUAACUACGUGCCAGCAGCCGCGGUAAUACGUAGGUGGCAAGCGUUAUCCGGAAUUAUUGGGCGUAAAGCGCGCGUAGGCGGUUUCUUAAGUCUGAUGUGAAAGCCCACGGCUCAACCGUGGAGGGUCAUUGGAAACUGGGAAACUUGAGUGCAGAAGAGGAAAGUGGAAUUCCAUGUGUAGCGGUGAAAUGCGCAGAGAUAUGGAGGAACACCAGUGGCGAAGGCGACUUUCUGGUCUGUAACUGACGCUGAUGUGCGAAAGCGUGGGGAUCAAACAGGAUUAGAUACCCUGGUAGUCCACGCCGUAAACGAUGAGUGCUAAGUGUUAGGGGGUUUCCGCCCCUUAGUGCUGCAGCUAACGCAUUAAGCACUCCGCCUGGGGAGUACGACCGCAAGGUUGAAACUCAAAGGAAUUGACGGGCCAGUU